rnacentral:rRNA from 1 species
AUUGAACGCUGGCGGCAUGCUUUACACAUGCAAGUCGAACGGUAACAGGCCGCAAGGUGCUGACGAGUGGCGAACGGGUGAGUAAUGCAUCGGAACGUGCCCAGUCGUGGGGGAUAACGCAGCGAAAGCUGCGCUAAUACCGCAUACGAUCUCUGGAUGAAAGCGGGGGACCGAAAGGCCUCGCGCGAUUGGAGCGGCCGAUGUCAGAUUAGGUAGUUGGUGGGGUAAAGGCCCACCAAGCCAACGAUCUGUAGCUGGUCUGAGGGGACGACCAGCCACACUGGGACUGAGACACGGCCCAGACUCCUACGGGAGGCAGCAGUGGGGAAUUUUGGACAAUGGGCGCAAGCCUGAUCCAGCAAUGCCGCGUGCAGGAAGAAGGCCUUCGGGUUGUAAACUGCUUUUGUACGGAACGAAACGGUCUGGGUUAAUACCCUGGGCUAAUGACGGUACCGUAAGAAUAAGCACCGGCUAACUACGUGCCAGCAGCCGCGGUAA